UGUACUUUAGUAUAUUAUGUACAAAAGUUUUUGAUAUUUUAGGAAAUAGGUUAAAUCUAUUAAGUACAA
rnacentral:tRNA from 1 species